rnacentral:rRNA from 1 species
CUAGCGACUUCAGAGUUUGAUCCUGGCGUCAGGAUGAACGCUAGCGACAGGCUUAACACAUGCAAGUCGAGGGGCAACGGGGUUGUAGCUUGCUAUAACUGCCGGCGACCGGCGCACGGGUGAGUAACACGUAUGCAACCUGCCCAUUGCAGGGGGAUAAGCGGAAGAAAUUCCGUCUAAUACCGCGUAAUAUGAGAUUGAGGCAUCUUAAUUUCAUUAAAGAUUUAUCGGCAAUGGAUGGGCAUGCGGUGCAUUAGCUAGUUGGCGGGGUAACGGCCCACCAAGGCGACGAUGCAUAGGGGUUCUGAGAGGAAGGUCCCCCACACUGGUACUGAGACACGGACCAG